rnacentral:rRNA from 1 species
AUUGAACGCUGGCGGCAUGCUUUACACAUGCAAGUCGAACGGCAGCGCGGGCUUCGGCCUGGCGGCGAGUGGCGAACGGGUGAGUAAUGCAUCGGAACGUGCCCAGUAGUGGGGGAUAUCCCGGCGAACGCCGGAUUAAUACCGCAUACGACCUGAGGGUGAAAGCGGGGGACCGAAAGGCCUCGCGCUAUUGGAGCGGCCGGUGGCGGAUUAGCGAGUUGGUGGGGUGAAGGGUUACCAAGGUGGCGUUCCGUAGCUGGUCUGAGAGGACGGCCAGCCACACUGGGAGGGAGGCGCGGCCGAGCCUCCUACGGGAGGCAGCAGUAGGGGAUAUUGGAGAAUGGGGGGAACCCUGCUGCAGCAGUGCCGCGGGGGGGGAGAUGGCCUUCGGGUUGUUGACCGCCUUUGUUCGGGAAGAAAUCCUCUGGGCUAAUACCCCGGGGGGAUGACGGUACCGGAAGAAUAAGCACCGGCUAACUACGUG